rnacentral:rRNA from 1 species
GAUGAACGCUGACAGAAUGCUUAACACAUGCAAGUCGAUGGGGAAGUGGUGCUUGCACCAUGGCAACCAUGGCGGACGGGUGAGUAACGCGUAAGGGACUUACCUGCAGGACUGGGAUAACAGGGGGAAACUCCUGACAAGACCGGAUAAUGUCAUGGAGCUGCAUGGCUUUAUGAUGAAAGGAGACGCCUGCGGAGAGCCUUGCGUCCUAUUAGCUAGUUGGUGAGGUAAUGGCUCACCAAGGCGAAGAUAGGUAGCCGGCCUGAGAGGGUGGACGGCCACAAGGGGACUGAGAUACGGCCCUUACUCCUACGGGAGGCAGCAGUGGGGAAUAUUGGACAAUGGGGGCAACCCUGAUCCAGCAAUUCUGUGUGCACGAAGAAGGUUUUCGGAUUGUAAAGUUCUUUCAGCAGGGAAGAAGUAAGUGACGGUACCUGCAGAAGAAGCGACGGCUAAAUACGUG